GAGAGACAGAGAAAUGGAGAGGCAGAGAAUGGAGAAGGAGAGAGAGAUUGAGAGAUCAAAAACUGCAGUUUGCAAUCAAGAAUGAAAAUAUGUCUCUCGCUUCCUGUCAAAUUUUCUGCCAUCAUCGUAAACCUCCACUACCUACCCGACCAUCAGAAUCGCUACUGCUAAGUUCUGUUUUAAAUUUAAAAAUUCAGGGUUUUGGGUUUUUAUUUGGAGAAUCAAUUGGGUGUUAAUUAUGAUUUAGAUUGGUAUUUUGGGUCAGAUUUGGUUUUGAUUAAGGGAUACAAAGAUAGAGGAACCAAGCAGAGUUUGUAGCGAUACUGCGAUACAGAGAAAGGGAAGGAGAAAAAAAAAGUUUGUGGCACAGUGGAGAUUCGACUGAAACUGAAAGGGGACAAGAACGGGGCACCCCAAAACUCUAUCAAAGCUUGAGGCAAAGAGCGUUUGGGAUUAGAGGAUGACUUCAUCAGUUUGAGAUACUAAAACUUAUGUUUGAUGACCCACUUCAGGUGUUGGAUUGAAGUGUGUUAUUUACACAAGGGAGAAAACAACUUGGAUCUUGGGUGCUCCUGUAACUCUUUUUGGUCUAAAUUUCUACACAAAUUUGCCAAUUAGAUCUAGAAGGUAUCCCAAAUGCCUAAAAGUCGCUUGGUAUGGGAUAAAGAGAAAGCUUAUGGUGUUCAGUAAAAAAGGAAACAUUAUUGGUGUGCAUCCUCUAUUACUGGGUUUGGUGUACUAAACUUUGGCUGAAACAAAAAGACUCAAGCUAUGCAACACAAUAGAGGUUCACUAUUAUAUGCUUGAAAAGAAUUGGUGAUUAUUGAAUUUGUUUACCGUAAAAAAAACCUUGGAAAGGCUUUUCUGUUUGGUACAUGAGCAUUAUUUUGGGAUCGCUAGAUUUGUUGGAUAUCGGUAAUGAUUGAUUGGAAGUGCUAACUUUGGGGAUGUGUAAAGCCUUGGAAUUUGCCAAGCAUUUGUCAAUAUGAGACCUAGAGGUGCAUCGCAUUCUUUUGAGGUGACACAACAUACUCAACUCAUGUACUUGGGGAGAAGGUGGAAGCAAAUGGGACUGGGAAGAAGGAGGCCAAGGUGAACUGAGGUGAAAGGUAUUGAAUUGUUGGGGAGCUUGGGAAGUUGGUAUUGCUAUUGGGUUUUUUGUUUUUUUGUUGUUGUUGUAUUUUGUUGGGUUUGUUUAUGUGAAGAAUAAUGAUUAAUGGGUAUUUGUUUAAUUAUAUAUUGAACUAAAUUUACAAUGAUGGGCAUGGAUAUCUAAUGUUAUCUGCACUUUUUUGUGUCAGUUGUAUUGGAUUUAGUUGCCAAGGUUAGAUCUUUUUGGGUCCUUUUUAUUAUGGUUGUUAGUGAGGAAUAAUGGUUAAUUAUGCAUUGAACUUAAUUUACAAUGAUCUAUACUACUAGACAUUGAGUACAUUUUUGUUGUGAAUUGAUCUGGACUUGUUGACCGGUUAUGCAUGGCAUCAUAAUUCAGCUUCCAAAUCAGUUUGUAACAAAAUUGCAAUAGAACUUAUAAUACCUAGAGCAAUUUUCAUGUGAAUUGGAAUUAUAGGAGAGGACACAAUAUAUGAGUUUGUAAUGAUACUAUUAAUACUAAAUAAAGAUGAUUCCAAAGGGACUAUUCUUUAUAAAGGUUGCCUUUUAAUAUAUUUUCUUGAUGGUUUAUAUAUUAUCUAAAUUACAGACCUAUUAUCUUGCCAUUAUGUAAUUAUGGUGUACAUUUUUUGUGUUAGCUUUCAUCAAACUCCUGACAAAUUCAGUGUUAUAUCUAUUUCUUACAGUGAUAUUUUGAAUUCGCUUAAUUUUCAGGUGGCUUAUUAGAAAUAGGCCCCCAGAGAUUAAGAACAAAUGUCCCAUCAAAUUAUCAUUUACAACAAACCCUUGAUGAAUAUCCUCCCUCAAUGUACUGACUCGACUUUGAAGAUUAGUCCCAAAUGUUUAGACAACAAUAUUAUACCAAUUCAUUGGAUAUAUUUGCACUAUUUUCUAAAUGAUUUCCACUAUAAUAAAUUGUUAUUAUUUGUUUCCCCCUAUUUCUAAGUAAGUUAUGAUGUCUGUUAGUUGAUGACAA